rnacentral:rRNA from 1 species
GACGAACCGUGCGAACGUUAUUCGGAAUCACUGGGCUUAAAGCGCGUGUAGGCGGGUGGGAACGUCGGCCGCUGAAAUCCCCCGGCUCAACCGGGGAAGGGGCGCCGAAACGGCCCGCCUGGAGGGACGUAGGGGGGGCUGGAACUUCCGGUGGAGCGGUGAAAUGCGUUGAGAUCGGAAGGAACGCCCGUGGCGAAGGCGGCGUGCUGGACCUCUUCUGACGCUGAGGCGCGAAAGCCAGGGGAGCGGAACGGG